AACGAACGCUGGCGGCAGGCUUAACACAUGCAAGUCGAACGCCCCGCAAGGGGAGUGGCAGACGGGUGAGUAACGCGUGGGAACAUACCCUUUCCUGCGGAAUAGCUCUGGGAAACUGGAAUUAAUACCGCAUACGCCCUACGGGGGAAAGAUUUAUCGGGGAAGGAUUGGCCCGCGUUGGAUUAGCUAGUUGGUGGGGUAAAGGCCUACCAAGGCGACGAUCCAUAGCUGGUCUGAGAGGAUGAUCAGCCACAUUGGGACUGAGACACGGCCCAAACUCCUACGGGAGGCAGCAGUGGGGAAUAUUGGACAAUGGGCGCAAGCUUGAUCCAGCCAUGCCGCGUGAGUAAUGAAGGCCUUAGGGUUGUAAAGCUCUUUCACCGAUGAAGAUAAUGACGGUAGUCGGAGAAGAAGCCCCGGCUAACUUCGUGCCAGCCGCCGCGGUAAGAC
rnacentral:rRNA from 1 species